GACGAACGCUGGCGGCGUGCCUAAUACAUGCAAGUUGAGCGCUGAAGGUUGGUACUUGUACCAACUGGAUGAGCAGCGAACGGGUGAGUAACGCGUGGGGAAUCUGCCUUUGAGCGGGGGACAACAUUUGGAAACGAAUGCUAAUACCGCAUAAAAACUUUAAACACAAGUUUUAAGUUUGAAAGAUGCAAUUGCAUCACUCAAAGAUGAUCCCGCGUUGUAUUAGCUAGUUGGUGAGGUAAAGGCUCACCAAGGCGAUGAUACAUAGCCGACCUGAGAGGGUGAUCGGCCACAUUGGGACUGAGACACGGCCCAAACUCCUACGGGAGGCAGCAGUAGGGAAUCUUCGGCAAUGGACGAAAGGCUGACCGAGCAACGCCGCGUGAGUGAAGAAGGGUUUCGGAUCGUAAAAAUCUGUUGGUAGAGAAGAACGUUGGUGAGAGUGGAAAGCUCAUCAAGUGACGGUAACUACCCAGAAAGGGACGGCUAACUACGUG
rnacentral:rRNA from 1 species